AUUGAACGCUGGCGGCAGGCUUAACACAUGCAAGUCGAGCGGGGUGAUGGUGCUUGCACUAUCACUUAGCGGCGGACGGGUGAGUAAUGCUUAGGAAUCUGCCUAUUAGUGGGGGACAACAUCUCGAAAGGGAUGCUAAUACCGCAUACGUCCUACGGGAGAAAGCAGGGGAUCACUUGUGACCUUGCGCUAAUAGAUGAGCCUAAGUCGGAUUAGCUAGUUGGUGGGGUAAAGGCCUACCAAGGCGACGAUCUGUAGCGGGUCUGAGAGGAUGAUCCGCCACACUGGGACUGCGACACGGCCCAGACUCCUACGGGAGGCAGCAGUGGGGAAUAUUGGACAAUGGGGGGAACCCUGAUCCAGCCAUGCCGCGUGUGUGAAGAAGGCCUUAUAGUUGUAAAGCACUUUAAGCGAGGAGGAGGCUCUUUUGGCUAAUACCCAAGAUGAGUGGACGUUACUCGCAGAAUAAGCACCGGCUAACUCUGUGCCAGCAGCCGCGGUAA
rnacentral:rRNA from 1 species